GACGAACGCUGGCGGCGUGCUUAACACAUGCAAGUCGAACGGAAAGGCCCUGCUUUUGUGGGGUGCUCGAGUGGCGAAGGGGUGUGUUACAUGUGAGUAACCUGCCUCUGGCUUUGGGAUAACUUCAGGAAACUGGGGCUAAUACCGGCUAGGAGCUCCUGCUGCAUGGUGGGGGUUGGAAAGUUUGGGCGGGUGGGGAUGGAUUCCGGGGUAUCUAGCUUGUGGGGGGGGGACUGGCUUACCCAGGCAUUGACGGGUAGCCCGCCUGCGAGGGUGACCGGCCACAUGGGGACUGAGGGAGGGCCCAGAGUCCAACAGUAGACAGCAGUGGGGAAUAUGGCACAAUGGGGGGAAGCCUGAGGCAGCAGCGCCCCGUUCGUGAUGACGGCCAUCGGGGUGGAAACCGCUGUCACCUGUGACGAAGCGUGAGUGACGGUAAUAAGUAAAGAAGCACCGGCUAACUACGUG
rnacentral:rRNA from 1 species